GCGAUCUGAACCUUUGGUACCUACAAGGAGGGUGUCUCACCGAACGGUAGCUAAGACCUCACCAGGACCGCGCGGAAGUGAGGAGUCGCGGCCAAAGGCGCCCGCCGGAGCCUCGUCUCUGGGCCGGACCCCAACCCGAGCGGCCGAAAGGAGCCCCCCGCCCGGAUCACAGGGCUGCCCCGCCGAGCCAAGCCCACUGCAGAGCACUCGGAUCCUGACACCCGGCGUCGAGUUGGGGAAGGACCAGAAAGGGCUACCAGGUGGUUAGGUGUUGAGUGCUGGAAGCAAGGAGUAAUUAACAUUGAGACAAAAGCUGCCGCUGAAAUUCGCUGCGGCCGCUGCCUCUUCCCGCUUUAAUCCCAGACCUCCAGUCAUUGGGCAGCUCCUCAGAGGCAAGAAGUCAACACCAUGGCAACCCGACAAGCCUAUCAAAUCACCGGCUGGUGUGACAGCAGCAACACUGCAGGCUGGAGUGGGCUGGGCAGAAGAGCAGAGUGGCCUCUACGCUCAGCGACAAAAUGAUGCCAUCAUUUUUAUGUGACUCAUAUGCAAAACGAAAUACAUUCAUCUCUGAGGUCUGCUGAUGGGAAAUAAAAUCAGAUAUUUCACUUCUAACUCUAUCAAGCAAAAGAAAAAUCAGUUGUGAUUCCAAGAAGACAUGAACUCUUGGUAAGGAAAUAUGUGUUUUACAAUUUUCAGAAAGAAUUAUCAAUAACAUACUGUAAAAAAAAAAGUC